rnacentral:rRNA from 1 species
AUGGUCAACAUUUGGAAGACCAUUAGUGACCCUAAAAUCAAGAAGCAUAAUUUUUUUGCCGAAGUACAAGAAGCUUGCCGAAAGAAUAUUGAGAAGGCAUUUGGCGUGUUGCAAGCUUGGUUUGCCAUUGUUCGAGGUCCUGCUCACUUCUGGGAUAAAAAAUCCCUCAGAAACAUCAUGAUUGCCUGUGUAAUUUUACACAACAUGAUCGUCGAGGAUGAGAGAGAUUUGGACUUGGAGCACAACUAUGACAAUAUUGGUAGACGUGUGAAUCCUGCCAGGGACACAUAUGAGAUCACUACAUUUCUUGAGACCUUCCAGAAAAUCGAGAACCGUGAUUCACACAACCAACUUCAACGUGAUCUUAUUGAGCAUCGGUGGCAACUCCAUGGGGGGAGAUAG